UUUAUUAAAGUUGGAACCCGGUAUCGGAGCCUUGAGGUUGAUUGUACURUUCACGGCACCAUUCUUGGAAAAAAGGAUUUAAUGCCUCAAGUUGCUGUGUUUUGUUUGUUGGUGGUGUUUUUCUAAAAGCCCUCUAUUCGGCAGUUCAAAGAGGGCAGCCUUGUGAUGUCUCAAGUUGUGAGGAUCUCAAGACGGGGAAGACAAUUGGUGGCAGUCGUGAAGUUGGAGGACUAUACUACUUGGAUGACUAUGGUCCUUAGAAGGCUCUUCAUUCCUCUUAUACACCACAUCAAUGACAUUGUCAUCUUGGUCAUCUUUCUCUACAUGUUUUGAAAAAUCAAGUCCCAACUUUGGAGUCUAUAACUUAGCUAGAUUAUGGGUUAUAUCAGCUAAGUAAACAUCAUAAAGUGUCUUUUGUUCCUAGAGAUGAUAAAAGAGUCUUGAGUCCUUUUUCUUUAGUCCACUCAGACGUUUGGGGUCUUAGUCGUGUGUCAUCUUAUAAUGGAUUCAGAUAUUUUGUAACA